AAUUGCUAUCCAACUGCUAUUCCCAUUUCUAAACCUUGUUACACGAGCAUCUUGAUCAAUGGUCUAGAAAGGGAAAUAGCAGUUGAGUGGUGCUU
ncrna:Glycine max miR1508a stem-loop (gma-MIR1508a, gma-MIR1508b)